UUUGGAAGCUUGCUUCCGAAGCAACCUAGCGGCGGACGGGUGAGUAAUACGUAGGCAACCUGCCCCUCAGCCUGGGAUAACUAGCGGAAACGUUAGCUAAUACCGGAUAAUUUGCUUCAUCGCAUGAAGGAGCAAUGAAAGACGGAGCAAUCUGUCACUAAGGGAUGGGCCUACGGCGCAUUAGCUAGUUGGUAGGGUAAUGGCCUACCAAGGCGACGAUGCGUAGCCGACCUGAGAGGGUGAACGGCCACACUGGGACUGAGACACGGCCCAGACUCCUACGGGAGGCAGCAGUAGGGAAUCUUCCGCAAUGGACGCAAGUCUGACGGAGCAACGCCGCGUGAGUGAUGAAGGUUUUCGGAUCGUAAAGCUCUGUUGCCAGGGAAGAACGUCUUGGAGAGUAACUGCUCUAAGAGUGACGGUACCUGAGAAGAAAGCCCCGGCUAACUACGUGCCAGCAGCCGCGGUAAUACGUAGGGGGCAAGCGUUGUCCGGAAUUAUUGGGCGUAAAGCGCGCGCAGGCGGCCAUUUAAGUCUGGUGUUUAAUCCCGGGGCUCAACUCCGGGUCGCACUGGAAACUGGGUGGCUUGAGUGCAGAAGAGGAGAGUGGAAUUCCACGUGUAGCGGUGAAAUGCGUAGAGAUGUGGAGGAACACCAGUGGCGAAGGCGACUCUCUGGGCUGUAACUGACGCUGAGGCGCGAAAGCGUGGGUAGCAAACAGGAUUAGAUACCCUGGUAGUCCACGCCGUANACGAUGAAUGCUAGGUGUUAGGGGUUUCGAUACCCUUGGUGCCGAAGUAAACACAUUAAGCAUUCCGCCUGGGGAGUACGGUCGCAAGACUGAAACUCANAGGAAUUGACGGGGACCCGCACAAGCAGUGGAGUAUGUGGUUUAAUUCGAAGCAACGCGAAGAACCUUACCAGGUCUUGACAUCCCUCUGACCCCUCUAGAGAUAGAGGUUUCCUUCGGGACANAGGNAACAGGUGGUGCAUGNUUGUCGUCAGCUCNG
rnacentral:rRNA from 1 species